UGUCAUAAUGAAUAUCAUAAUAAGUCUUUUCAUAGUUUUUUUAACGCAUGCAAAUGUUAUAGUAGCAAUGGAAUUAAUAGAAUUGCACUGUAAUUUUUCAAAAUAUAUGUUUAAUUAUUUUAAGUAUGGUGAAAAAUAUUUAUAUCAAUUUGAAAAUACGAUUUCUGAACUUGAACUAAGAAAAUAUGGAUUAGCAAUCAAAUCUCACGAUGAAAUCAUAAUGAUCAUGUUAGAUGCGUUGCGGGAAUUAGAUGUGAACUACUGGGCAGAAGAUUUAAUAGCUAUAAAUUUAUACUUAAACAAUGUUUCGGGAUCUUUAAAUAUGAUCGCUAAAAAUGAAAAUGGCCAAUUCAGUAGAUCUGAAAGCUCUAAGAAUUUACUUGAAGGCUAUAAAAUAAUUCAUCAAUCAAUUGUUGAACGAUUGCAAUACUUUGUUAAUAACCAAUGUUCAGAUGUAUCGCUUGAAAAUGAUUUCAUAUCAUAUACUGAUUUUAAUCUACCGUGUAAUUACAUGCCAGAUGUGUUGCUUAAUAUCUUGGGAAACCUAAAAAACCGAUUAUUUAUUGUUAUGAAAGAAUAUUUAUUAUGGUACGUUGUUAAAUAUGAUGAUAUAUUAAACAGUUACACUGAUAUUGUGAAACAUUUAGCAUUGUCUUUUCAAAGGAAAUCAUAUAAUUAUUUUAAUCCUAAAAAUUUCUUAUUUUAUGAUUUAAUGGAAACUCGAUCUAAUUUUUGCGAGCUAGAAUUAUCGUCAGGUUCUCAGGCAAAACAAAAAGCCAUGUAUGAUGAAAAAAAAAAUCUGAAAGAUGUAUUAGACAUGAUGAGAUAUAGUAAAAUUAAAAAAAGAAGUAGUAAGAAUUAUAAUAUAAAAUUGUUUGAUAUUUUCCGGUUUAUCAAGUUUGAUUUUGACCCGAAAAACAUGCAAGUAUAUCAUGAAUUAAUAAAUGCAGCAACAGUUCGUCCUAUUAUAAUGAUUAUACGAUAUUAUUUUGAUUUAGUUAAAUACUACAUAUCAAUAAAAAAAUUUCGUGAUCCAAACAUCGAAUAUAACAUGAAACUGAAAAUUAUUAAAUUGGGCGAAGAUAUUAUUGAUACUUUUAAAUCUUUUUUGGAUUUGAAUUUAUUUAGAGAUUUAUUUAGAAAAUGUUUAGACGGUUUUUAUGAUAAGAUAUUCUAUAUAAUAUCAAUGUACAAAGAAAAAAAUAAUUUAUUUUUAACUAAAGACAUUAGAACAUUAACAUGUAUUUUGUACAAAUGUAUACAAGGUAGAUUUUUAAAUUGUUACUUAAAUAAAAAAAAAAGAAACAAUGACGAUCACGAAUAUAAUGUAAAGAAAGAUUAUAAAUUAUUAGUUGAUCGUAUACAUGAAAUUUCCUUGUACAUUAUAACAUUGAAAACAUAUCAGUAUUGUUUUCAGACUGUAUAUAGAUACAUUCCUAAGGGACACAUAGAUUGGCACACAUUUAAAAUUACUUUCAAGCAUAACAUUCCAUUUAAACAAUUAGGAUAUUAUGAAGAUAUUUAUCGUUCACUUUAUUUUCAUGGUGAUAAUACCAAUGAUGAUGUAAGCUAUUGCAAUCAAAGCUCAAGUGAAGAAAAUGAUUGCGAUGAAGAACUUAGUGAUGAUAAUAAGGAUGUAGAAAUAAAAAAUCAAACAUUUAAAUCCCCUAUAUAUUUUGUAGAUUAUUUACUUUUUGCAUAAUAUAUUAUAUAUGUACAGAAUAUUCAGUAAGUAAAGAAACAGUUCAAUUGUUUUAAACAAUGAGAACAAUAUUUCCUUAUUUACUGAACACUAUGUAUCUUUUCUUCUAUAAGGAAUUUUGUUUCUUUCUAAUAAGUUUAUCUGUCCAAUUAUUCUAAAAGACACAAAGAAAUCAGAUUAAUAAUACAUGAAUAUCGCGGGUAAUUUGCACGGAGACGAUAGAAGGUCAACUAACUCGCAUUACCAUCCAUACGGAUGACAAAACGGUCGAUCACCAGUAUAGCAACGAUAAGCUGACCCUUCUACUAUAUAAACUGUAUAUGUCACUAGUGACUUGUUAUUAUAAGGAAUACUAAUAUAUUAAGGUAAUCUAGCUGUCUCCUAUAUAAAAAAUCAAGUAAUAAAAACAGAAAUCAAGUCAGUAAAUGGUUUUCUUACCUUAGUUCAAUGUAAGACCGAUUGAGGUCCUUUUCCGGGGAGCCUGUUAACGCGUGACCAUGUCAAGAAUGAAGGUAAUUGAACACAAUAUAGCCAAUGCCCUAUGUAUAAACUCGAUAUAACGUGUUUAUUGUCAAUUUAGUAUCCGAGGACUAUUGCACAAUACGUACAGGAAAUUAAUAAAAAACUAAAAGAAAAACAGUUACAUUGAUGAAGCAAUAGUCGAUGAUCGUGAUGGUUGAUGUUAAUGUUAUCAACUGUUCAGUCGUUGUUAUGAGUCGAUGCAUACAGCAAAAUAUUGGUAUAUAGUGUGAGGUGUGACGAAGAUGACUUCAACGUAUGUUUGCGGCGGGCCAUUGUCGGACUUAAGGCACUUGCUGGAUUUUAUACCAUGGCGUAUGGCACGCAGUGUUAGUCAGUUAAACUAUCAUAUAUACGUAUUAUGGUGACGACUGUAAAAUGUGGCACUGGUCGCGGGGUUUUCGUGUAACGCAAAGUGAUACAGAACCAUGUGAAGCAGUUUUAAAAUAUAGAAAAAAAAAAAUAGAAAUUGUUAUUUUUCACUGUAGUUUAAUUUUCAAAAAUGUAUUCAGUCAAAUAAUAGCUCAAAUAAUUAUA